AUGAACGCUGGCGGCGUGCCUAAUACAUGCAAGUCGAACGAGUUCUGAUUAUUGAAAGGUGCUUGCAUCUUGAUUUAAUUUUGAACGAGUGGCGGACGGGUGAGUAACACGUGGGUAACCUGCCCUUAAGUGGGGGAUAACAUUUGGAAACAGAUGCUAAUACCGCAUAAAUCCAAAAACCGCAUGGUUCUUGGCUGAAAGAUGGCGUAAGCUAUCGCUUUUGGAUGGACCCGCGGCGUAUUAGCUAGUUGGUGAGGUAACGGCUCACCAAGGCAAUGAUACGUAGCCGAACUGAGAGGUUGAUCGGCCACAUUGGGACUGAGACACGGCCCAAACUCCUACGGGAGGCAGCAGUAGGGAAUCUUCCACAAUGGACGCAAGUCUGGUGGAGCAACGCCGCGUGAGUGAAGAAGGCUUUCGGGUCGUAAAACUCUGUUGUUGGAGAAGAAUGGUCGGCAGAGUAACUGUUGUCGGCGUGACGGUAUCCAACCAGAAAGCCACGGCUAACUACGUGCCAGCAGCCGCGGUAAUACGUAGGUGGCAAGCGUUAUCCGGAUUUAUUGGGCGUAAAGCGAGCGCAGGCGGUUUUUUAAGUCUGAUGUGAAAGCCCUCGGCUUAACCGAGGAAGUGCAUCGGAAACUGGGAAACUUGAGUGCAGAAGAGGACAGUGGAACUCCAUGUGUAGCGGUGAAAUGCGUAGAUAUAUGGAAGAACACCAGUGGCGAAGGCGGCUGUCUGGUCUGUAACUGACGCUGAGGCUCGAAAGCAUGGGUAGCGAACAGGAUUAGAUACCCUGGUAGUCCAUGCCGUAAACGAUGAAUGCUAGGUGUUGGAGGGUUUCCGCCCUUCAGUGCCGCAGCUAACGCAUUAAGCAUUCCGCCUGGGGAGUACGACCGCAAGGUUGAAACUCAAAGGAAUUGACGGGGGCCCGCACAAGCGGUGGAGCAUGUGGUUUAAUUCGAAGCAACGCGAAGAACCUUACCAGGUCUUGACAUCUUUUGAUCACCUGAGAGAUCAGGUUUCCCCUUCGGGGGCAAAAUGACAGGUGGUGCAUGGUUGUCGUCAGCUCGUGUCGUGAGAUGUUGGGUUAAGUCCCGCAACGAGCGCAACCCUUAUGACUAGUUGCCAGCAUUUAGUUGGGCACUCUAGUAAGACUGCCGGUGACAAACCGGAGGAAGGUGGGGAUGACGUCAAAUCAUCAUGCCCCUUAUGACCUGGGCUACACACGUGCUACAAUGGAUGGUACAACGAGUUGCGAGACCGCGAGGUCAAGCUAAUCUCUUAAAGCCAUUCUCAGUUCGGACUGUAGGCUGCAACUCGCCUACACGAAGUCGGAAUCGCUAGUAAUCGCGGAUCAGCACGCCGCGGUGAAUACGUUCCCGGGCCUUGUACACACCGCCCGUCACACCAUGAGAGUUUGUAACACCCGAAGCCGGUGGCGUAACCCUUUUAGGGAGCGAGCCGUCUAAGGUGGGACAAAUGAUUAGGGUG
rnacentral:rRNA from 1 species